rnacentral:rRNA from 1 species
GACGAACGCUGGCGGCGUGCUUAACACAUGCAAGUCGAACGAAGAGCGAUGGAAGCUUGCUUCUAUCAAUCUUAGUGGCGAACGGGUGAGUAACGCGUAAUCAACCUGCCCUUCAGAGGGGGACAACAGUUGGAAACGACUGCUAAUACCGCAUACGAUCUAAUCUCGGCAUCGAGGAUGGAUGAAAGGUGGCCUCUAUGUAUAAGCUAUCACUGAAGGAGGGGAUUGCGUCUGAUUAGCUAGUUGGAGGGGUAACGGCCCACCAAGGCGAUGAUCAGUAGCCGGUCUGAGAGGAUGAACGGCCACAUUGGGACUGAGACACGGCCCAGACUCCUACGGGAGGCAGCAGUGGGGAAUCUUCCGCAAUGGACGGAAGUCUGACGGAGCAACGCCGCGUGAGUGAUGACGGCCUUCGGGUUGUAAAGCUCUGUUAAUCGGGACGAAAGGCCUUCUUGCGAAUAGUGAGAAGGAUUGACGGUACCGGAAUAGAAAGCCACGGCUAACUACGUGCCAGCAGCCGCGGUAAUACGUAGGUGGCAAGCGUUGUCCGGAAUUAUUGGGCGUAAAGCGCGCGCAGGCGGAUAGGUCAGUCUGUCUUAAAAGUUCGGGGCUUAACCCCGUGAUGGGAUGGAAACUGCCAAUCUAGAGUA